rnacentral:rRNA from 1 species
AGCGAACGCUGGCGGCGUACUUAACACAUGCAAGUCGAACGAGGAUCGUCGGGUUAGCAAUAAUUCGGCGGUUCUAGUGGCGUACGGGUGAGUAACACGUGGGUAACCUGCCCUCGAGUCCGGGAUACCCUCUCGAAAGGGAGGCUAAUACUGGAUACGUUCCCUAGGUCGCAAGGCCUGGGGAGGAAAGGUAGCGAGAGCUGCCGCUCUUGGAGGGGCUCGCGGCCUAUCAGCUAGUUGGGAGGUAACGGCUCACCAAGGCGAUGACGGGUAG